rnacentral:tRNA from 3 species
GGCGGCAUGGCCGAGCGGUAAGGCGGGGGACUGCAAAUCCUCUUUUCCCCAGUUCAAAUCCGGGUGUCGCCUGAUCAACAAAAGAA